UUAAUACUGGAUAGAUCAAAGAUACUGGAAUGUCCUUUGGUCCAAAACUCCGGUGCCCAAGGAUGGGUCUGCGGCCUAUCAGGUAGUAGUGGGUGUAACGUACCUACUAGCCUACGACGGGUAAGGGUUGUGAGAGCAAGAGCCCUGAGAUGGAUUCUGAGACAUGAAUCCAGGCCCUACGGGGUGCAGCAGGCGCGAAAACUUUACACUGCGGGAAACCGCGAUAUGGGGACCCCGAGUGCCAGCACCUAGUGCUGGCUGUCCCGCUGUCCAAACAACAGUGGUUAGCAAGGGCCGGGCAAGACCGGUGCCAGCCGCCGCGGUAACACCGGCGGCCCGAGUGGUAGCCGUUAUUAUUGGGUUUAAAGGGUCCGUAGCCGGCCUAUUAAGUCUCUUGGGAAAUCUGGCGGCUCAAUCGUCAGGCGUUCA
rnacentral:rRNA from 1 species